CCUACGGGAGGCAGCAGUGGGGAAUAUUGGGCAAUGGGCGCAAGCCUGACCCAGCAACGCCGCGUGAAGGAAGAAGGCUUUCGGGUUGUAAACUUUUUUUGUCAGGGACGAAGCAAGUGACGGUACCUGACGAAUAAGCCACGGCUAACUACGUGCCAGCAGGCGCGGUAAUGCGUAGGGGGCAAGCGUUAUCCGGAUUUACUGGGUGUAAAGGGCGUGUAGGCGGGACUGCAAAUCAGAUGGGAAAACCACGGGCACAACCUGUGGCCUGCAGUUGAAACUGUAGUUCUUGAGUACUGGAGAGGCAGACGGAAUGCGUAGUGGAGCGGUGAAAUGCGUAGAUAUUAGGAGGAACCCCAAUGGCGAAGGCAGUCUGCUGGACAGCAACUGACGCUGAGGCGCGAAAGCGUGGGGAGCGAACAGGAUUAGAUACCCGUGUAGUC
rnacentral:rRNA from 1 species